CGACCGGCGCACGGGUGAGUAACGCGUAUCCAACCUGCUCUUUACUAUGGGACAGCCCGUCGAAAGGCGGAUUAAUACCGUAUGUUGUCAUGUUGAUGCAUAUUUUCAUGACCAAAGGCUUCGGCCGGUAAAGGAUGGGGAUGCGUCUGAUUAGCUUGCCGGCGGGGUAACGGCCCACCGGGGCGACGAUCAGUAGGGGUUCUGAGAGGAAGGUCCCCCACAUUGGAACUGAGACACGGUCCAAACUCCUACGGAAGGCAGCAG
rnacentral:rRNA from 1 species